CCUUAGUAACGGCGAGUGAAGCGGCCACAGCCCAAAUGUGAAUCCUCGGAAUUGUAAGGGACAACGCCAAAACUGAGCUGUCACAGGUCAUCAGGAAAGAUGCAUCGAGGAGGGUGAGAAUCCCGUGGUGACAGCCCGGCUAACGGCGAAGUCAGGGCAGAGUCGUGCAGCUUGGGAUUGCUGUACAAAGCGGGAGGUAAACUCCUCCUAAGGCUAAAUACACC
rnacentral:rRNA from 1 species